AUUGAACGCUGGCGGCAGGCCUAACACAUGCAAGUCGAGCGGAUGAAGGGAGCUUGCUCCUGGAUUCAGCGGCGGACGGGUGAGUAAUGCCUAGGAAUCUGCCUGGUAGUGGGGGAUAACGUCCGGAAACGGGCGCUAAUACCGCAUACGUCCUGAGGGAGAAAGUGGGGGAUCUUCGGACCUCACGCUAUCAGAUGAGCCUAGGUCGGAUUAGCUAGUUGGUGGGGUAAAGGCCUACCAAGGCGACGAUCCGUAACUGGUCUGAGAGGAUGAUCAGUCACACUGGAACUGAGACACGGCCCAGACUCCUACGGGAGGCAGCAGUGGGGAAUAUUGGACAAUGGGCGAAAGCCUGAUCCAGCCAUGCCGCGUGUGUGAAGAAGGUCUUCGGAUUGUAAAGCACUUUAAGUUGGGAGGAAGGACAGUAAGUUAAUACCUUGCUGUUUUGACGUUACCAACAGAAUAAGCACCGGCUAACUUCGUG
rnacentral:rRNA from 1 species